UUGUAUUUGAAAUUAUUCUGUAGCAAAUACUAAUAAGAUAUAAUUUGAUUGUUAUCUAACGCGUCAGUUUUUCUUUAGCAAAACAACAAGGACAACUCGCAAAUAGACGAAGACUCUGAAGGUGAUUCUGAGCAGGAAAAUCGUACACCACAUAAUGAUGAUACAUUUAUUAGACAGUGAAUGCGAAAGGAAAUUAAAGAUUUGCCCAAAAUAGAUGAUAUUCUUCAAGAUUGUUCAGAAGGGCGUCUAAUUCUUAAAAUUUACAGACAGAAAGAUAGGAAUUCUCACUCGCAAUGGAAGACGUGCACUCGUUGAGUCAUAUAACCUCAUUUGUAUUGAACUGCACUGAAGGAUGGAAGAAUUAUAAUGCAACUUUGCCUUUGAUCGUACUUGGUUGGUCCUAAAGGAAGAAUACGUCGAUCAAAGGAACCUGAUUGGAAGUUCAGUAUUUGCCGGAGUCAGAAACAAGUAGUGUCCAGCAUUCUAAAGAUAUCCAUGAUGAAUACAAAAAGCGAAUGAAUAAUGAGGGUCCGCUAUGCACCCUGUGCCACAGAAUAUGUAUUUAUGAGUCACUGGAAAUGCAGACACUCUGACGUAAACUCAA